AAUAGAUACCCGGGUAGUCCAUGCCGUAAACGAUGUCUACUAGCCGUUGGGUCCUUUGAGGACUUAGUGGCGCAGCUAACGCGAUAAGUAGACCGCCUGGGGAGUACGGUCGCAAGACUAAAACUCAAAUGAAUUGACGGGGGCCCGCACAAGCGGUGGAGCAUGUGGUUUAAUUCGAUGCAACGCGAAGAACCUUACCUGGCCUUGACAUACUAGAAACUUUCCAGAGAUGGAUUGGUGCCUUCGGGAAUCUAGAUACAGGUGCUGCAUGGCUGUCGUCAGCUCGUGUCGUGAGAUGUUGGGUUAAGUCCCGCAACGAGCGCAACCCUUUUCCUUACUUGCCAGCAUUUUGGAUGGGAACUUUAAGGAUACUGCCAGUGACAAACUGGAGGAAGGCGGGGACGACGUCAAGUCAUCAUGGCCCUUACGGCCAGGGCUACGACACGUGCUACAAUGGUCGGUACAAAGGGUUGCUACCUAGCGAUAGGAUGCUAAUCUCAAAAAGCCGAUCGUAGUCCGGAUUGGAGU
rnacentral:rRNA from 1 species